rnacentral:sRNA from 1 species
UACCCUACAUGCUGGUUCAGAACAAUUUCAGGCUGGCCAUUCAGAACCUAUGUUCAGUCCUUAGAACACACCCAUCUUUGUAAUUAAGAAAAAAAUCUGGAAACCUGGAGAUUAUUACAAGAUCUCAGGGCAAUUAAUUGUGUGAUUGAGCCCAUGGGACCCUUAUAACCAGAGUUCCUUCACAUACAGCUAUCCCUUUGGAUUAUCACUUAAUAGUAAUAGAUUUAAAAGAUUGAUUCUUUUCUACACCUUGGCACACAGACAACUGUAAAAGGUUUGCCUUCAG